rnacentral:lncRNA from 1 species
AAAAAAAUAUAAAAAGAAAGUGGUAUGUUGAAGUUUACUUCAUAUUAGUAAAGCUCAUAUCUCAACCUUUAUCUUCUAAUACAUAACAGUCCUUCCCCCACAAAAUUAGGACUCCUAGAUCCCUUGGAAAUCCUAUGGGGUUUUGAAGUUCCAGAAUAUGGCUAAACUGAAUCCUGAGUAGGAAUUGUGCAAAAACUCAUAGAUGGAACACCAGUGCUCAUGGGACAAAACUGGAUGACUGAAAGAAAUCACAUAUAGUCUAUGGUAAUGACCUGGAGAUCCAUUUCUUUUGUCAAAAAUGAUUAUCUAUAUAAUCAAUGUAUAUGACACUAAUUCAGAUGCCCUUUGACAAUGCUAUAUGAAUUUAAAUACAUGUUUCUUAACAUAUUCGGGAACGAAAACCAUAGAUAAUUACCUCCCAUCCAGGAACAAAAAUCAUAGAUCAAGAAACAAAGUUAGCAACUCCAUGUGGAUUCUCUUAUAAAGAUCAACGGACAUCGACAACCGUCAUACCAUUACACCCUACACAGUUUAGCAAUGAAAAAGACCUUCAAAUCAUAGUAAAGAACUAUAAUUCAGAUGCGAAACGCGUAACUCAAGCAGAUCGGCAGCAGCCAAGGCUUUCAGAUGCGCAUACAUACCCCAAGGUCCCACCAAAAACACAAACGAAUCGGAAAUCGUACUUCGAUUGAUCAACAGAAGAUUUAGGGCUACCAAAAUGGGCAACAAAGUGGUUCAGAAACAAGGCGAAAGGGCAAAGUGAGCCUUACCACAUCCCGCGAUCCGAUCGAUAACUACCUUCGAUCGAGCAUUGCAACUCCUCUUCCCAGCUUCUUUCGUCUUACUCUCCGUCCGCCUUUGCCGGAUGUAGGAAACGGACCUCGGUUCGCGAUUUACACGGUUAGAUCGAAUUCGAGUUUGAUUUGCAAUCUUGUGACCCACUUGUUCCCGAAUGAUUGCACCGACUCUUGUUUGGACAUGGCGAGUGUUGCGAUCCACCGCUCCACGUUCUCCCAUUAUGUUUGACGCAGACAUAAUAAUCUCCGUGAUGAAUUCUCCAAGGCCAUCUAUCAUUAUAUGGUUAUGAAACCAUGAUACUAGUAAUAACGGAAAGAACAUAGUAAAGAUCAUAACACGCAAUAAUAUUUGACAUGAUAGAUUGACUGGUCCGACCAAUGUGCCAGUCGCAUUAUGCUUGGUCGGAUCGCCGCUCGGUGGAGUCACGUCGAGAGGAAGGAGAUGAGAUGUACCAAAAUCCACAUUAAUGGAUCCAUUUAAGUCGGCGGCAUCGGUCAUAAUUGAUAUAUAAUAUUUCCAUUUAUUAUAAAUAUCGAAUCAGGUCAGUAUAAAUAAGAAUCGUUUACGGCUGUACUAUGUCGGGAUACUUAGUAACAAUUCUGGUAGGUGGGAAUUGGGCCCAACCAUAAUAAAUUGAGUUCUUCGCCAUUUCUCGAAGCUUUUGAGACCCCACGAGCAUACAAUAAUGAGAAAUAAAUAUCAGCUACCUGUGUCCCGUACCCGGAAUAAUUAUCCGCAAGUUGAACAGCAAGUAACUGUGGGCCCGGAGUCCUGAGGAAGCGUCGGCUGCUACCGCGUAGGUAAAAGACGUGGGAGAGAACCGUACGAACUGACUCCGAGAAAACGAUGGUGUCCAUCGAAUGACCGCCCCACGAAGAAACAUUGUUUCAUGUCCAACAGCAGAUCUCGUUGAAACGUGUCACCUUCCGCCGGCUUCGGCUUGCGCGAACGCGCGCCCCACCACGUGGGGCUGCCCCUCCGACGGGAAUCGGCGGUUACUUGGGGGAUGGCAUAACGGCGUCAUUAAACGGGCACACGGAAGCUACGCCACCGCGAAUGCCGACUUACAAGUAACGGAUUUGGACGUUACGUGAGGGUUCUGUGAACUGACGGAAACCGACACGUUGUUGGGAGAAUCCGACGUGGCGGUUUGGUGCGACCGGCCACCGACGGAGGACACCGGGGGCGGACCGCCAUAAAUGGGAAGAGCUAGUGACGGUUUCUCGUCGGUGACAACAAAACCUCCUCCUCCGGUGCACAUUCGUCUUCUAUUCUGCAUAAUUUUUUCGCUGAUUUGUUCUUGUUCUUCACGUUUUGUUGGCGUCAAGAUCCGUCUUUUUCUCCUUCUUUCCUCCGGGAAUCUCGACAAAAGCUGGUUUUUUCCCUUCCUUGGUUCUGAUUUCAGAGCUAAAGUUGGACUUUUGGGCACUUUACGAGCGUUACGGCGCUGUUGUGGUGGCUCCAGCGGGGAAUCGGGUUUUGUCGUGGUGGUGAUUGAAGUGACAAGGAUUGGAAUUGGGAAUCACAUCCAAGCUUUGAUCUUUCUUGGAGGUUUGAAGAUUGGAGCAGGAGGAUCCAUCCUGGUUCCCAGUUUUGGAGAUUGCCCUUGCAUGUCGGCCAAGUGUUGUUUGGUUACCCAUGAAAUAGCAGUGGCCGACGGCAUCCACCCACCACAAGGAGAUGGAGAAGGCCAGUGGUAAGCCCCAGCAGCCGCGGCUCCGCUUGCUCGCCACCCUUUGCGCCUUGUUCUGGAUCAUUAUCUUUUAUUUCCAUUUCGCCGUGCUCCGUCGCAGUAGCCCGAUGAGUCCGCCGGAGCAAACCCUUUCCUUCUCCUCCUCGUUCCCGUCCAAUUCCCAUCAACAUUUUGUAGUAGACAGCACGCCUUCUGAUGAAUCGCGCGCAUCGCAUUCAUCUAAAUUGAAGCCCCCGAUAGCAUCGAAGCCAUCGGACGCCCGUCGAGAGCCGCCGCAUCAUCCCCUUCCCUCCUCCUCGAAUUCGUCCAUUCCCAAACGACAACUCCCAUCGCAUUCAUCGAAAUCGAUACCGCCGCCACUGGAAUCGAAGCCAUCGGAUGCCCAUCGAUCGCCGCAGAAGACCUUCCCCUUCCACCGUGCCAUCCAGACGCUCGAGAACAAGAGCGACCCUUGCGGCGGGAGGUACAUCUUCGUCCACGACCUCCCUCCGCGGUUCAACGACGACAUGCUCAAGGACUGCAGAAAACUGAGCCUUUGGACAAACAUGUGCAAGUUCACCAGCAACGCCGGCCUCGGGCCGCCCCUGGAGAACGCGGAAGGCGUCUUCUCCAACACCGGGUGGUACGCCACCAGCCAGUUCGCUGUGGACGUGAUCUUCGGCAACCGAAUGAAGCAGUACGAGUGCUUGACCAACGACUCGUCCAUCGCCGCCGCAAUCUUCGUGCCGUUCUACGCCGGCUUCGACAUAUCGCGGUACCUAUGGGGGUACAACACCUCGGUGAGGGAUGCAGCGUCCCUUGAUUUGGUGGAUUGGCUCAUGAAGAGGCCGGAGUGGAGUGUGAUGGGCGGGAGAGACCAUUUCUUGGUGGCCGGAAGAAUCACCUGGGACUUCAGGAGAUUGACGGAUUCGGAUUCCGACUGGGGCAGCAAGCUGCUGUUUUUGCCGGCUGCCAAGAACAUGUCCAUGCUGGUCGUGGAGUCGAGCCCAUGGAACGCGAACGAUUUCGCGAUUCCAUAUCCCACUUACUUCCACCCUGCAAAGGAUGCUGAUGUUUUCGUCUGGCAGGAGCGGAUGCGGAAGCUGGAGCGGAAGCAUCUCUUCUCGUUUGCAGGGGCACCUCGCCACGACAACCCGAAAUCUAUCAGAGGGCAGAUCAUAGACCAGUGCAGGAAGUCCAAGGUCUGCAAGCUGCUGGAGUGUGACUUCGGAGAGAGCAAGUGCCACUCGCCUAGCAGCAUAAUGCAGAUGUUUCAGAGCUCUUUGUUCUGCUUGCAACCUCAGGGUGAUUCCUAUACAAGAAGGUCGGCCUUCGACUCCAUGUUGGCCGGUUGCAUCCCCGUUUUCUUCCAUCCUGGCUCGGCCUAUGUACAGUACACUUGGCAUCUUCCGAGGAACUACUCGACAUACUCGGUGUUCAUUCCAGAGGAUGACGUUCGAAAGAGGAAUGUAAGCAUCGAAGAAAGGCUAAAGCGAAUUCCUCCGGCUGUUGUUAAGGUCAUGAGGGAGAAGGUCAUAAGUCUGAUACCGGGGCUUAUAUAUGCGGAUCCUCGGUCUAGAUUGGAGACUCUGAAGGACGCCUUUGAUGUGUCUGUAGCGGCAAUCGUCGACAAAGUAACCAAGCUAAGGAGGGACAUAAUGGAGGACAAUGAGGACAAGGAUUUUAUUGAGGAGAACAGUUGGAAGUAUGUUUUGUUGGAGGAAGGGCAGAGAACAGUUGGGGCACACGAGUGGGAUCCAUUCUUCUCCAAACCAAAGGAUGGGAACAGUGAUUCUGGUGGUUCUUCUGCUACAACUGCUAAGAAUUCUUGGAGAAGUGAACAAAGGAAUCAGUAUUGACCUUCGUGUGAGAGUCACCUGGAUCAGAAGGCCAGCGCUUGAAACUGCUUGAGAUAUACAUGAAGGCAGCACGCACUAUGCGAAUUGUUUGUCAUCCAUAUAAGUGUGUUGAAUGAGCUGCCUGCAGAUUUCUAAGAACACCUGCUGAACCUGUUCUACGAGUAUAGAAGGUAGCUGCAGAAAUUAUCUGCCAUAUAUAAAUGUUUUGUGUUCCUGUCAGUGGUUCAUUUGUUUGAGCUCUGCUUUUACAUGUUCAACAAAGAUAAGAAUAUCAUGAAUUUAUUUCUUGUUAUUGGUGAGGAAGUCUGUCAUAUUUGUUGAGCAUGAACCCAAAGUUUGAUCGGAGUAGAGAUGGAGAGUUCUCUGGCUUCGCUAGCUGUAGUUUUGCAUGUGUGCGCCGGCAAUUACUGCUCUCGCUACCAGCUCAUGGAACCCCCGUGCACGCUCGGCGGCUACGUCCGCGGCAAUUCCCGCAGCUGCACCACCCAGGACUCUUCGGAUUGCUGCAAAGAAGGCGAGCUGUACCCCCAGUACCAGUGUUCGCCGCCGGUGACCAGAGACACGCCCGCCCACAUGACCAUCGCCAGCUUCGCGCAAGGCGGGGGCGGCGGAGACCCCGCGACGGCUGCUACCACGGCGACGACCAGAUGUUGGCGUCCUUGUCGACGGGAUGGUGCGACGACGGCAGCCGCUGUUCGAAGAACAUAAAGAUCAACGCCAAUGGCCAGACCGUGCUGGCCAAGGUGAUGGACGAGUGCGAUUCCUUGCACGGCUGUGACCAAGAGCACGCCUUCCAGCCGCCGUGUGCGCCCGACAUAGUCGACGCAUCCCGAGCAGUGUGGGAGGCUUUGGGGAUCCCUGAAUCGCAGAUCGGAGACGACGGCAUCACUUGGUCUGAUGAAUGAUAUGAAAGCAGGUGUAUUAGUAUUCCUAUGCACCCCUAAGCAUGUAUUCCUAUGCCAUAAUCGUACUAAUAAAGCAGCCGAACAAAGCUUGCUGAAGCUAAAUUUAUGCAAGAAUCUAUGAUGUGUCUCAUAAAUAUUAUCAUUUCAAGACCUUAAUAAUUAAUAUAUUACUGUAAUUAAAAAAUAUUUAUCCUCUUUAAGAAACCUAUUAAAGAAGAUAUUUUGAAUUAAAGGCAGACAGGCACCAAUUAAACCAAAAUGGUUGAGCGCCCACCCCCACCACGGCUUAUAUUUAUAAGCAAAAGCAAAAUGACGAGAUGCUGGUGGCCUUGUCCAUCGGGUGGUACAGCAGCAGAAGAUGCUUAAGUGUUAGAUUAUGUAAGUGAGCUUAUCUAAUUAAGUAAUAUAUUUUGAUUAUGAUUAUCGAUAUAUAGAAAGAAAAAAAGUCUUAUUAUAAGUUUUUUUUUUUUUUUUAAGAUGAUCUUGAUAGAAAGGACUCUCGUAAUUACUUAUUGUAGACCCUCUUCUAUCAUGAUAUUAUUAAGAGAUUAUAGAUAUUCUUUAAUCUUUUUUUUUCCCUAAAUUUAUCUUUUGUAGUGGUCUUGUCAAAUGAUAUAAAGAAAGGAGAAUAUAAGUCUAAUUCUUCAUGUAACUUUCGAAUUCGAUAAUAUUUUGCUUACAGAACAUAUAAAAGUUUUUUGAGAAUCAUCAAAAUAUACAUAUCAUAAAUUUAAAUCUAUUAUUAUUAGAUUUCAUAUUUUGAUAUUACAAUUUUUUACAUAAUAAAAUAAUAAUAAUUUUUAUGUUUACAAUUGGUAUUAGAGUCAUAGUUAUGAAAUUAAAUACUUUAGAUCCAUUUGUCAGCACUAUUGCUGCCAAUGACGAUUAUAGCAACAAUACUACGGUAGUGUUUGUUAGCCAUUACGAUAUCAACCGGAUACUAAAGGUCAUGGUUCCCAACAUCUACAUAGGAGGAUGCACAGGCACAGGCACAAUGGUGCAACAUGACGAGUGGUCGGGGAGGCCACGAGCAGGUGGCAGUAGUCGUGCCUCGCGUAGCGAUAGCAACACCUUGUGCAACCAACGAUUGCACCUCGUGCAGUGACCGCGGACGACAGUUGUGAUGCCACAUGUAGGCGACGACUAUGCACGACAGUUAGCACAGGCCCAUUUUAGGUUUCAUACAGAAAUUAUACUUUUACCUUUGUAAAUUCAUUUAGAUUUAAUUUAUGUUCUUUUGAUAAUUCUACGCUUCAGAAAAUUUAUAUUAUAUAUCCUACCGAAAUUUAUACUUUUACCCUUCAGAAAUUUAAAAUUUCUGAUUUUAUGUACAAUUUUAUGGCAUUCUAUGUGGACAAAUUUAUUAGACGAUUCUGCGUAAUCUAAAUGUAUGGUUUCAAGUCAGCAUCCAAAUAUGAAUUUAGCAUUGAUUGUUGCUAUGUUGAAUCAAGAGUCAGAUUCAUAAAAUCUUAACUUAGAUUUUUCUCUGGAUCGUUGCCGUUUCAACGUUUACCACACAGUUGUUGUCUUGAAUUGCAUACUAUUCGAUGUAUAUGUCUAAAGUUCACACGAGAAUUCAUGGGACGUAUCAGUGUUUGUCAACCGACAACCUUUGAUGCAGAGAAUCCGUCUUCCUUGCGUGUUGCACUAAAACAGCCAUCACUGACUUUUCCCAACACUUGAUUCGAUUGAUGGUGAGGAAGUCGUCAUAUUUGUUGAGCAUGACUCCAAAGUUUGAUCGGAGUAGAGAUGGAGAGUUCUAUGGCUUCACUAGCUAUAGUUUUGCAUGUGUGCGCCGGCAAUUACUGCUCUCGCUACCCGCUCACGGAACCCCCGUGCACCCCCAGCGGCUACGUCCGCGGCAAUUCCCGCAACUGCACCACCCAGGACCCUUCGGAUUGCUGCAAAGAAGGCGAGCUGUACCCCCAGUACCAGUGUUCGCCGCCGGUGACCGGAGACACGCCCGCCCACAUGACCAUCGCCAGCUUCGCGCAAGGCGGGGACGGCGGAGGCCCCGCGGAGUGCGACGGCCGCUACCACAGCGACGACCAGAUGCUGGUGUCCUUGUCGACGGGAUGGUACGACGACGGCAGCCGCUGCAACAGGAGCAUCAGGAUCAGCGGCAACGGCAGGUCUGUGCUGGCGAAGGUGGUCGACGAGUGCGACUCUGUUUACGGUUGAGAAGCCGACCAGAGUUACCCGCCGUGCUCCAACAACGUGAUCGUUGCGUCUCCGGCCGUGCGGACGGCGUUGGCGAUCCCGGAGGCCCAGGUUGGGGAUUACGACGUUACCUGGUCUGAUGCAUGACGGGUGGCGCAUGCAACCAUCGGAUAGAUGCCUCAUGUGGUGCUGCAGCACGCAUGCAAGUGAAUACUUUUCGAUACUGCUUUGGUAUUUAGCUUCGCAUCUAUGUGACUGAUCUAUUGCUUGUAUGUGUCAAACUCAUGCAUCCAAAGAGCAUGAAUUGAACAGAUCAUCACAUCAUUAACCAUGAAAUUUUAAGAAAUAUAGAUUCUAAUAUAGUAUAAAAAGUUAUGAUUAUUUUACAAUGCAUGCUUAAGAAAUUACAAUUUAGUUCUCAAAAUAUUAUAAUUCAAUUCUUGAGAUAUUAUGUAUCUCCCGUUGCAUAUCAUUGAUCAUUCCUUGGAACAAUAGAGAUAAAACCAAUCUUUGUCUGUCUUCCCUUUCGGUAAUUCGCUUGCAGGCUUUUGAGUUGUGAUUGGUCAAACAGCGAUAGUCAAUGUUUCUGCUUUUGUCUUGACACCUUUUACAAAUAGGUUUGGAUUGAUUGUUGCUUGCCGUUCUCCCCUUCCUCUGUUCUAUUUAUGAAUAAGCAAAGAAUUUUACACUUAAAAUUUAUUAAGAAUGAUAGGAUAUUGUAGAUAUCUUAUUAUAUAUAGAUAGGAUAUUAUUUUUAAAAUUUAUUAUUAUUUUAUAGAUAUAAUGUGUAUAUAUUUUUUAUUUGUAAGGAUCGAAAGCCUGAUGGGCUAAUUAGCCUAUCAACUUCGAACCAUUGACCAAAAUGCUUAAGCUGAAAUUGAUAAUAGUACACUCAUUAGACUUUUAUAAGUCAAUCUUAAUAUUAUCCACUUUCAAUGUGAAACUAAUCAGGGGUGUUACAAUGAUAAAUUAUCAUUAUCUUAGGAGUUGGCUAUAUCUCUUCUUAAUCUCUUCUUAAUCUGUAAGGUUGGCUUCUCUUGAUAAAGAAUUCCUGGAGAAGUGAACAAAGGAAAUCAGUCUGGACCUUAUUGCGACAUCCACCUCAGUAAUAAGGCCAUCCAUGAGACUGAUUGAUGAUCGACAUGAAGGCAGCACUCAAUGUGAUUUUUCUUUUAUCAUCCAUGUAAGUGUGUGUGUUGAAUGAGCUGCCUGCAGGAUUUCUAAGAACACCACCUACUGGACCUUUUCUACAAGUACAGAAGGUAGCAGCAGAUGUUAUCUGCCAUAUUUAUGUUUUGUGUUCCUGUGAGUGGUUCAUUUGUUUGAGCUCUGCUUCUUUCACAUGAUCAACAAAGAUGAGAAUAUCUUUUGUUAUGGGAUACUCGAAUCAGAUUGUUGGAUAUGUUACAUGGAAAUGCAGAUGGGGAACACUACAAGUGGAUGAGUGAUGACAACUAAUGAAAAGCCAAUCUAAACAGAGAGAUGAAUGAUCAAAGAGAGGGACUUUAUGUUCCUUCUCUAUUAAUUAUGGCUUUGCAAGAGUGAGUCAUCAUCCUGUAGAUGUUGGUAGUAGCAAAAACAAAGUGAGGUAUGGCCAUCUUCCAACAAUCUAUUCUGGAGAUUUCUUCUGGUGCUUUCCAUGAAGCUGCUCAUGACUUUUCCUGGUAGAACUAAUGCGACUUUCAUUCCAGAUCAUCUGGAAAAAGGAAAUACAACUGAACACUCAUCCUAGCAAUCAGAAUGAUUCGAAUACUGGUUUGACAUUGUGAAAUCUGCAUCACACAGCUGGUUAUGGGAGAUUAAUAGAUAUUAGUAGGAAAGAAAAAUAAUCUCAGUGAUCACUCACUGCCGUCACCGUUUCUGAGCUCAAACUUCAUUGGGCGUCUUCGAAGGAAUGCCAUCGUUGUGCGAGUCAAGUCAACCCAUGGCUUUCUUCGACGCCGCGAUUGUCGCUCAAUAGCAUCAGAUAGAAACUUCGUGGUGACUUGCCGUCCUGAUUACGCUAAGACCAAUUGUGUUCUCUUGCUAAUAUAAGCAUGCCAUGGCUUCGAUCCCUUGGACAUGAAAGUUCUCCUCGGAACCAAAAAGAGAGCUUACCGUGAAUGAGUUUGACGCCAUGGCAAUUCCUCCACCUUCUUUGCUCGUCCUGGUGUUGGUAGCACACGUUUGUCUUGGCAGCUACCUCCACUUCUCUUAUGCCCAACAGUGCAGCCCAAACGGGCAGAUCACCGGCGUCUCCGGGGACUGUAACACCGACAACAACGCCGACUGCUGCGUGAACGGCCAGAUGUACGACACCUACAGCUGCUCGCCGACGGUGACGGGGGAAACGCAGGCGCACAUGACCAUCAACAGCUUCGCUGAAGGUGGAGACGGCGGUGGGCCUUCCAAGUGCGACGGAAGCUACCACAGCGACAACGAGCUCGUCGUCGCGCUCUCCACCGGAUGGUACGACGGCGGCAGCCGCUGUUCGAAGAACAUAAAGAUCAACGCCAAUGGCCAGACCAUGCUGGCCAAGGUGGUGGACGAGUGCGAUUCCUUGCACGGCUGUGACCAAGAGCACGCCUUCCAGCCGCCGUGUGCGCCCAACAUAGUCGACGCAUCUCGAGCAGUGUGGGAGGCUUUGGGGAUCCCUGAAUCGCAGAUCGGAGACUACGACAUCACUUGGUCUGAUGAAUGAUAUGAAAGCAGGUGGAUUAGGAUUCCAGUGCACCCCUAAGCAUGUAUUCAUUCCUAUGCCAUAAUCGUACGAAUAAAGCAGCCGAACAGAGCUUGCUGUAAGCUAAAUCUAUGCAAGAAUCUAUGAUGUGUCUCAUAAAUCUUAUCAUUUCAAGACCUUAAUAAUUAAUACAUUACUGUAAUUAAAAAAAAUAUUUAUCCUCUUUAAGAAACCUAUUGAAGAAACUAUUUUGAAUUAAAGGCAGACUGGCACCAAUUGAACCAAAAAGGUUGAGCGGAGCCACCCCACCCCGGCUUAUUUGUCGAGCUUCAGCAGCAGCCGAUGCAACAAGAACAUCAAGAAGAUCAACGCCAACGGGAGGACUGUGUUGGCGAAGGUCACCGACGAGUGCGACUCGGUGAACGGCUGCGACGCGGAGAAUAGCUUCGAGCCGCCGUGCCGAAACGACGUCGUCACCGCGUCUGCGGCGGUGCGGAAGGCGUUGGCGAUCCCCGAAGCCCAGAUUGGAUAUUAUGAUGUCGCUUGGUCUGAUGCAUGACUUUGAUGCGCAGAAGAACGUAAACAUUGCUUGGAAUUGAUGGUUUGCAGGUUGCAAAUCUGCAUGACCUGAAACACCAGAGCAUGGGUGACCGAUUUCUGUGAAUUCUAGUUAUCGAUCUGCAGCUUUCAAUCGAUAGUGCGGCGACACUGUUGGAUGUCUCCGAGAUCAUUGUAACAAAUAUAACCCAUUAAUUUAUAAGCUUUUCCAAACAAUGUUUGUAACGGAGGUAAAGUCAACCGACAGAAAGUCAACUGGACAGACCAAUGUUACAAGGAAAUGCUUGUUCUGCUAAUUACUUCGAUGCGUCUGAUGAUGAGUUGAAUGUAUCUUAGACCAAGGAACAGAAAACUAUGAUGAUAUAUGGAGAUUCGAGUGGGUGGGACAAACUGGACAUGGAUAACAAGGGAUUCAUCAUCCAACAACAAUGUCACACCACUUCUUCGCACCUGCUCCCAUACACACAGUUGCAGGGGGAGGUUGGAAAAUGUGCAGCCAAUGUCGAAUGGGAGCAGUUAUUUCUCAUUCUUUUUGUUGGAUCUUGCGUUAGCACAAGGAACCCUUGCGGCACUGGAGAGCCCCUGCCCCUGCAGUGAUGGAAGCAACCAUGGAGGAGGUCUUGGCCCCGAGGCUGGAGGCCCUUGAGUAGCUUGCGGAGGCACCAGCUCCCGAAGGGGUGAAGUAAGCACCAUUCAGUAGCAGGUCCCCCUCUGAUCUCCAAUUCCAGCUCUUCCAAGUAUCACUCGAAGUGGCCACUCUCUUAGUCACCUGCAAAACAGAGCUAACUCGUGGAAUAUUGUGGUUGAUGCUGAAGGAACUCUUAGAUCCAUAAUCGAGACUAAUUUACCUCCUUGGCAAAAGGAUCGGUAGGUGCAAGGUAUCUGUUGCCUUGGCUGUUGAUGGUCGGAUUCGCACUUCCUCCAAUGGCGUACAUCUCCCAGUGAGUGUAAUCGUUGUUCACCACAUGGAAGUAACCAUGCCUGCACCUGCAAUUCGUCACGGUGGUAAAACUCGAUAAUAAACAGGACAUCCGUAAUCUAAUGACUUGUGUGUAAGCCUACAACUCCGGUCCCCUGCAGAGAUCUUGGAGUACCUUGGCAUUCUCUGAACGAGUCCUUCACCGAAAUGGUUGAAGGCAAUGGUCACCUGCAUAGCCUUGUCCCUUUUGUAGGAAUCACUGUGACCCAAAAGCAUCACCUGUACAAGAUUAAUCUGUCACUCGAGCUCACAAAACACACGUAGCGUUCGUUACAUGAGUUUCGUUAAGGAAGAGGGGAGAUACCUCGUUGUGGUGGGUGAAGUAAUUGUUGGAGAUGGUGAUGGCCGUGGAGCCCAUAACGGCAUCGACGAGGCCGUCGGCGCAGUUGGACAGGGAGUUGUGGUCGACCCAGAUGUGGCUGGAACCGAAGAUGGAAAUGGCGUCGCCGUCGGCCAUGGUCCUCCAGCCGUAGUGGGAGGGGGAGCUGCGGACCAUGGCGUUGCCGGUGGGCUUGCAGUCGUGGAUGUGGAGGCCGUGGAUGAUGACGUUGGUGACGAACUGGAUGGUGAUGCAGGCGCCGUUGGCGAUGUGGACGUUGGCGCCGCGGCCGUCGAUGGUCUUGAAACCGUUCAUGAUGAGCUCCUGCUUGAGGGCGAUGACCAUGUCGCGCUUGAACACGAUCCAGAGGGGCUCGUCCUGGAUGACGGCGUAGCGGAGUGUGCCGGGGAGGGGGUUCACGGGGUCGUCGUCGCUGGGGUCGGUCACGUGGUAGAAGCGCCCGUUGCGGCCGCCGAUGGCGCUGCGGCCGAACCCGAUGCCGCAGUCGGCGAGGCGCUUCCGGCGGAGGUGCCACUUGGGGUCGCAGCGCCAACAGUCGUCGAUGGGGUUUCCCGUAACGCAUGUGGAAAGGUCGUCGAGCGACCGGCGCGCCGUGCCGUUGCUGAUCUGCCUGCUCAAACAACAUUCAUCAUCGUGAAGAAGAAUUAGUGCCACAACUACAAUUGCAAGACCGAUUGCAAAUCGUAAAAAGAGAACAUGAUGAUUGAGAAAGAAAGACGAUGUUUAAUCCCUCAAAUUUGAACCACAAUAAACCACAGACAGAGAGCGGUGGGGGUCUCCAGAUCAACAAAACACGAAAAGGCUAUACCUAAGUCAAACAAUUGCUGAUGCACGAUCCUCGAUGCGACACACCACCACCCACAAGUUUAAAUGGGAUCCACCUCGACGGCCAUAACAACCAUAGCUCGACUGGGGGUACCACUGGUUGUUACUCGAUCGGAUCGGCAUGCGUUUGGUAACGGGAAGAAACACAGGAUCGGAGAAGACGUGAGGGCAGAGAAUAGGACGUGUCACGGCCCACACGCCCCAGUCCACGAUGGUAAUUCAAUAUAGACAGCCAGCCAGGAAUUGCCUUUGACCGACCGAAACAACUCAUUUUGCAACUAGGAAAGGAAUCCGACGUACGCGUAGUGUUCAUAGGAAUCAAGUCAGAAGCAACAGGAGAUUGAUCCGAGAUUAAUGUAUGCGGCUCCAAUUUGCUUCUUUGGUAUACUUGUAAUAACUGUAAAAAGAAGGCAACAAAGUGGUGGGCUUACAUGUUCACUUUUGACGCUAUAAAUUCUGGGUCGUCCACCGCGCCAACCACCACGUCACUUUCGAACCUGGUUCACUUAGUGGACUCAACAGUCAGUCGCUGUAAUCGUUCGUUCCACAUUUCGAUCGAAGAGAUGAUAGAAUUAUUAUUAUUAUUAUUAUUAUUAUUGUUAUAUAUAUAUAAAUUAAGAGAUGACCUGACCUCUGCGCCGUGGCGGAAGAGGUGUCGUUCUCCGCGGUUGCCGUCACGCUCCGCGGAGCCAUUGCCGCAGCAGCUCCGACCCUGAAAGAGACUCGAAGACAUUAGACCAACGUUUGAACUUUGGAUCGAAGGUGAGAUCACCGAAUUCGCUUGAACUCCCAAACAGAGGAGCGAAGAGAAGGCAAAGGGUUUCCCACACGCCAUAGCUCCUCACGAUUCUUCCAAAAGACCAGCACAAAUCGAUGAUCGGAAAAUGUACCUCGAGGGGAACGAUUCCCGGCCUCCCGUAGAUAGGAUCACGAAGAGACCGAGCAAAAUCAGCGACGACGACCUUCUCCGAAGCACCAUCGCCAUCAAUGCCGUUGCCUCCGUAACCUCCCUUUCCUCUUCCCACGCAGAUCGGUAGCUUUCUCUCUAUUCGCUGUCAGUCCACAGGGAGGUAUAGAAAGGUCAAGGGAAGGGAGGGAGUCCAACUGAAGCCGACGACGGAACCGCCAUCUUAUAGGGACGUUCCACUCUACUUCUACCCCACUCCCCAACUUAACGGGCGUCACCUUCGCUAACGGCGUGAGGGGGGCACCGACGACGACGACGGUGCGGGCAGCGUCAAUUCGUGCGAUUGACGCCCCAACUAAUAUUAACCGUUCGGUCCAACUGAGCUGGGGCCGGGGUGACACGUGUGAUGGCGUACCAGCAGGAGCCGGUUGCUGCGGCACUAGUUACGAGCGCUAACUCACGGGUCGACUCGGUGCCAACUGGGCAACCAGAACGACCAAAGUGGACCGAGUUGACUGUGUCAUCCGCUUGUCGUCUCUCUCGCUUUUAAUAUCGUGGUGUAGCAAUGCUGCAGGUCUCCAUAAAUGGCGCAGCAAAGAUGGGUUGCAGGGGAGGAUAUCGGCAACGAGAAAUAGAAACCUUUUCGUCGAAGCUACCACCCUGCAUGCAUGCUUGAGUGCACCCAAAGGCUUCAAUGGAAUUAUGGUGUUUGGCCAAGUUAUAAGCAUGGACCGGUUUGGAUUUUGAUUUGAGUUAAGAUUUAAUGUUCAGAAUAAUCGGUAGUGGUGUCAAAGCAAAUUUUGCUCGUUUGAUAUAAUUUUCACAUCUGAUAUAGUCGUAAUUAUAUUGAUUUAAUAAACAUGAUGAAAUAUUUUACUUCUUAAUUGAGGAAUCGCACAAGACUGUUCAUUUUUAUUUGAUACAUCAUCAUCAUCAUCAUCAUCAUCAUCAUCAUCAUCAUCAUCAUCGGAUCACUAAACUUUUAGAAAUCAUUCCUUCGUGAUGUCGUGCAUUAUAUGAAAACCGGAAACAGAGUCAUGUAAAAGGAGAAUUGCUUGGCCCGUUCGUAUCAGUGCAUAUCAUACUGUACCUUAGUGCAAGAUCACGGAAACAUUUCUCCACAUUUUCUCGUGUCUUUGCACUGCACUCGAGAAACACCUACCCAUUUGUUUUCGCCAAGGCACUUGCUUCUUCCCUUGUCACCUUCCUAUCACUCACCUUGUACGUAUCUGCACAGAGCAGUGGUUAGGAUCGCGAUGGUGUGCAUCGCAGCUCCACAUAAUGCAAUGAGAAAGUCACAAAGAGAAAUGAUUGAGUCGUGGUUAAGUUACAGAUAAAAGCAAUCUUCAUAAGGAUGGCCGCAAGCUACGGCAAUGAUAAAGCAACGUAGAUAAUGGCAUAAAACAUGCAACUAGUUUAGAGGAAUGAAACUUGAUCUGGGGAACCAUGAAUGAAAACAUAAAAGGGAGAUGGGGUAACCCAUGAUUAUUCCAUGCGCGCAUCGAUAGUAAUCUUUAGUGACCGUCCUAUACCUCUGUUGUCCAGCUGCAAAAAUAAGCAAUUAUUGUUGUUAUUAUUAUUAUAUCUAAAAAGAGCAUGAAUAAACGAUCUUAUCGUAGAUCCAUUGUGAUCUUGAAAUUGUCUAAAAAUGGAAACAGCAACCCUAGUCGCCAUCUUCAUAUCUGGUUUACUUGUAAGCUUUACUGGGUACGCCUUAUAUACCGCUUUUGAGUAACCCUCUCAACAACUAAGAGAUCCAUUCGAAGAACACGGGGACUAGUUGAAGUAAUGAACCUCUCAUAUAGGGAGACUCGUUACUUCAAUUGAGAUAAUGAAAAAUUAUUU